GGUUGACAAUAUUGAGAGGUGGAGUCAGUUUAUCUGCUCCGCCCAUGAAAUUCUUCUGGAGGGACCUCAGGAAGGGCGGCUACUGAGCUGGGGCUAUGGGCUGUGCUGGUUCUUCAAGGCCCCUCCCUCACAGGAGGCCUGGGAAGGAAAGGUUUCACUUUCGAAGGAUGAGAUGGCUAAACAGAACGGCCCUGUUUGGUCAUUUGCAAUCAGGCUAGCCUGGAGGUGCUUGGUGCUACAGUAACUGACUUGAGGGGACAUUGGGAGUGUGGAGGAACCUCUGGAAAGAAGAUUGAGAGCCCGGAGGCCCAACAGUGGUUGGUGAGGAACCACCCAUGACUUGGUUUCAGAGUCCACUGGUUUGGAGCAGAAAGGAAAGCUAUAGCAUCAGCUGGGAGCUACAAAUGCCCCGAGGGGUCCCAGUUGCUGCUGGAGUCCUGGCCUUCCUUGCUCUCCUGGCUUUGGUCUAUCAUUGUCUCAACGAGGCCUGGAAGUCCAGAUGGAGGCUUUGCUGUGGGAGCUGGAGGUGCCCUCCAACUGGAAAGAGCUUGCAAUUUGUCUUCAUCCACAGCCUGAAUGAGGGCCAGCCGGGAAUCCUCUCUUCAGAGCCUUCCCCAGUGUCCCCCGAAGGCCCUAAUGGCACCAGGACCGCUCUUCAGCUUCGGGUAUGAAGAGGAUCCCUCCCUCCCUGCUCAGAGCAGGUUGUAGUAUCUGCCAAGCACCCUGCGAAUAUUUGGAAAACCAUUAAUGUGGAUGGAGGACUAAGCCCAUGAGAGGAGGGCAGUGUGACUGUCGGUGAGGUGAGGAGUGCGUCCUUGUCCCACAGGAGUCUGGCCCAAGAGAGGGAGGCACUAGUACAAGUGUCUCGCCUCUGGCUUGUGGCGGCAAAGCUUCCUUCUCCCAAAGCCACCCUGAAGAAGCAGAGGUUCUGGUUACCCCAUCUUUAACAGUGGCCUGUCCUCAUGGGUGUGAUGUCAUGGCACAGCCAGCACAAGGAAGCUGCACCUGACCUCCGUCCACUCCCAAGAGCUUUGUCACUGUUCCCGCAGAGCUCUCAGCCUUUGCAGCCCCUGAGCUUCCUUGGUUCAGCCUAGGCACCAGAAAGGUCAGGGCCUCCUGGAGCAUGUCUGGCAUCCCUGGCUGCUGAGCACUAAGCCGGUGAGCUUUCUGGGUCAGGUCACGGCUGCAGCCGACCCCCUUGCCUGCUUUCCCAGACUAGAAGCACUGGAACCUGGACUCCUAAGAUCCCCAGAGCCACCCGAGUUAAGGGGAGAUUAGUUAGAUUGCAGUAGGUAGAACUGGAAACUGUCCCCAAGAUUCCUGUCCCUGGAGGUCCACGGGCUCGUGAAUCAGUCCUCUGGAAUGCAGAUGUAACCCUGUGUGCACCACACUCUUCUCUGAUGAGGCUGUGCUAUGUGGUGGAGGGAUUGGUGCAGAUUCAUUAGAGUCUCUAAUUAAUUAAAUUGUCUGCGUUAAGCAAGAGAUGGGGCCAGGGAAAGUGGGGCAUGCCUGUGGUCUAAGCUAACUUGGCAGGGUGAGGCAGCAGGAUCACUUGAGUCCAAGACAUAAGGCCAGCCUGGGUAACAAAGCAAGGCCCUGCCUUAGCUCUCAACAGGGACUGCUGUGUAGCUCAGGCUGGCCUGAACUUGCUAUGUAGCCCCAACUGGCCUCAAGUCUGUUUUGAGAUCCUCCUUGACUCCCUGAGUACUGGGACUACAGGCGCAUACAGUGAGAGACCUCGAGUCUCAAUACUGGGACUACAGGCACAUAGAGUGCGAGACCUUGAGUCUCAAACAAAACAAACGUUGCGAUGGUGAGCCCAGAUGGCCGGAUUUGGCGUGUGAAGUGUCCAAGGGUCUGCUCUGCCCACCGCUGCCCAGGAGAGGAUGAGCCUCCAAUGUGACACCGCCACCUUGAUUGCAGCUGUGUGACCCCAGGCAGAGGACGCUGUUCAGCCCUCUGAGUCCUUGUUCACCAAAAGCAUGAGAUAAUAAAUAGGAGGUUUUGGCA